rnacentral:tRNA from 1 species
GGAUUGUAGCUCAGUUGGUAGAGUGUUUGCCUAGCAUGUGUGAGGCACUGGGUUUGAUUCUCAGCACCA